GUGGGGAAUUUUGGACAAUGGGCGCAAGCCUGAUCCAGCAAUGCCGCGUGUGUGAAGAAGGCCUUCGGGUUGUAAAGCACUUUUGGCAGGAAAGAAAUAGCGCGUGCUAAUACCAUGCGCGAAUGACGGUACCUGCAGAAUAAGCACCGGCUAACUACGUGCCAGCAGCCGCGGUAAGACGUAGGGUGCAAGCGUUAAUCGGAAUUACUGGGCGUAAAGCGUGCGCAGGCGGUUUUGUAAGACAGGUGUGAAAUCCCCGGGCUCAACCUGGGAACUGCACUUGUGACUGAAAGGCUAGAGUGUGUCAGAGUGAGGUGGAAUUCCGCGUGUAGCAGUGAAAUGCGUAGAGAUGCGGAGGAACACCGAUGGCGAAGGCAGCCUCCUGGGAUAACACUGACGCUCAGGCACGAAAGCGUGGGGAGCAAACAGGAUUAGAUACCCCAGUAGUCC
rnacentral:rRNA from 1 species